rnacentral:rRNA from 1 species
AUUGAACGCUGGCGGCAUGCCUUACACAUGCAAGUCGAACGGUAACAGGUCUUCGGAUGCUGACGAGUGGCGAACGGGUGAGUAAUACAUCGGAACGUGCCUAGUAGUGGGGGAUAACUACUCGAAAGAGUGGCUAAUACCGCAUGAGAUCUACGGAUGAAAGCAGGGGAUCGCAAGACCUUGUGCUACUAGAGCGGCCGAUGGCAGAUUAGGUAGUUGGUGGGAUAAAAGCUUACCAAGCCGACGAUCUGUAGCUGGCCUGAGAGGACGAUCAGCCACACUGGGACUGGGACACGGCCCAGACUCCUACGGGAGGCAGCAGUGGGGAAUUUUGGACAAUGGGCGAAAGCCUGAUCCAGCAAUGCCGCGUGCAGGAUGAAGGCCUUCGGGUUGUAAACUGCUUUUGUACGGAACGAAAAGCCCCGGGUUAAUACCCUGGGGUCACGACGGUACCAUAAGAAUAAGCACCGGCUAACUACGUGCCAGCCGCCGCCGUAA